UAACCAGAUCGUACAAAACUGGCAAAGGAAGUGAAACAUCAUAUUUGUAAACACCAGAGCCUGCUUUAGCUAAGCACUCGGUAAUACCUUCUCGACGUUCCCAAAGAACUCGCAAUUGGGAUUCAUCUUGAGCCAAAACGCCAUCUGAAAUAAUUUCUUUUUCCAAAAGAUCUUCAACUAAAGCAGUUAUUUUUUGUUCAUCGUGUUCCUU